rnacentral:rRNA from 1 species
GACGAACGCUGGCGGCGUGCCUAAUACAUGCAAGUCGAACGCUGAAGAGAGGAGCUUACUCUUCUUGGAUGAGUUGCGAACGGGUGAGUAACGCGUAGGUAACCUGCCUUGUAGCGGGGGAUAACUAUUGGAAACGAUAGCUAAUACCGCAUAACAAUGGAUGACACAUGUCAUUUAUUUGAAAGGGGCAAUUGCUCCACUACAAGAUGGACCUGCGUUGUAUUAGCUAGUAGGUGAGGUAAUGGCUCACCUAGGCGACGAUACAUAGCCGACCUGAGAGGGUGAUCGGCCACACUGGGACUGAGACACGGCCCAGACUCCUACGGGAGGCAGCAGUAGGGAAUCUUCGGCUAGGGGGGCAACCCUGACCGAGCAACGCCGCGUGAGUGAAGAAGGUUUUCGGAUCGUAAAGCUCUGUUGUAAGUCAAGAACGGGUGUGAGAGUGGAAAGUUCACACUGUGACGGUAGCUUGCCAGAAAGGGACGGCUAACUACGUG